UUAAGCCAUGCAUGUCUAAGUAUAAGCAAUUAUACCGCGAAACUGCGAAUGGCUCAUUAUAUAAGUUAUCGUUUAUUUGAUAGUACCUUACUACUUGGAUAACCGUGGUAAUUCUAGAGCUAAUACAUGCUAAAAAUCCCGACUUCGGAAGGGAUGUAUUUAUUAGAUUAAAAACCAAUGCCCUUCGGGGCUCACUGGUGAUUCAUGAUAACUCCUCGAAUCGCAUGGCCUUGUGCCGGCGAUGGUUCAUUCAAAUUUCUUCCCUAUCAACUUUCGAUGUUUGGGUAUUGGCCAAACAUGGUUGCAACGGGUAACGG
rnacentral:rRNA from 1 species